rnacentral:rRNA from 1 species
CCUUGAUGGCGACCGGCGCACGGGUGAGUAACGCGUAUGCAACCUGCCCGAUACCGGGGUAUAGCCCAUGGAAACGUGGAUUAACACCCCAUAGUACUUUUAUCCUGCCUGGGAUGGGAGUUAAAUGUUCAAGGUAUCGGAUGGGCAUGCGUCCUAUUAGUUAGUUGGCGGGGUAACAGCCCACCAAGACGAUGAUAGGUAGGGGUUCUGAGAGGAAGGUCCCCCACAUUGGAACUGAGACACGGACCAA